AGUGAACGCUGGCGGUAGGCCUAACACAUGCAAGUCGAACGGCAGCACAGUAAGAGCUUGCUCUUACGGGUGGCGAGUGGCGGACGGGUGAGGAAUACAUCGGAAUCUACUUUUUCGUGGGGGAUAACGUAGGGACACUUACGCUAAUACCGCAUACGACCUACGGGUGAAAGCAGGGGAUCUUCGGACCUUGGGUGAUUGAAUGAGCCGAUGUCGGAUUAGCUAGUUGGCGGGGUAAAGGCCCACCAAGGCGACGAUCCGUAGCUGGUCUGAGAGGAUGAUCAGCCACACUGGAACUGAGACACGGUCCAGACUCCUACGGGAGGCAGCAGUGGGGAAUAUUGGACAAUGGGCGCAAGCCUGAUGCAGCCAUGCCGCGUGGGUGAAGAAGGCCUUCGGGUUGUAAAGCCCUUUUGUUGGGAAAGAAAAGCAGCAGGUUAAUACCCCGCUGUUCUGACGGUACCCAAAGAAUAAGCACCGGCUAACUUCGUG
rnacentral:rRNA from 1 species